AAGAAUUUAAGUUAAAAAUAAACUAUAAAUCUUCAAAAUUUAAAUUAAAUAUAUUUUAAUUCUUA
rnacentral:tRNA from 1 species